UACGUAGGGGGCAAGCGUUGUCCGGAAUCAUUGGGCGUAAAGAGCUAGUAGGCGGUUCAGCAAGUCGGGUGUGAAAACUCUGGGCUCAACCCAGAGACGCCACCCGAUACUGCUGUGACUAGAGUCCGGUAGGGGAGUGGGGAAUUCCUGGUGUAGCGGUGAAAUGCACAGAUAUCAGGAGGAACACCGGUGGCGAAGGCGCCACUCUGGGCCGGCACUGACGCUGAGGCGCGAAAGCGUGGGGAGCAAACAGG
rnacentral:rRNA from 1 species